rnacentral:lncRNA from 1 species
GGGUCUCCAUUGGCAGCCAAGGCACUAGGAUCUGUACUACGUGGCAAGACAAGCACGGAAGAAUGGAAGGCUGUGAUUAGCAAAAGCAUCGCCCAUAACAAGGAUGAUCGAAUCCUGCCUAUUCUCAAGCUCAGUUACGAUGACCUGCCAUCACACAUGAAGCAGUGUUUUGCUUUCUGUGCUGUGUUUCCCAAGGACCAUGAGAUUGACGUGGAAAGGCUGAUCCAACUAUGGAUGGCAAAUGACUUUAUUCCCGAGCAAAAAGAUGUUCGUCAUGAAACAAUUGGUAAACAGAUUUUCAGUGAGCUGGUCUCAAGGUCAUUCUUUGAAGAUGUGAAGCAAGUCAAAGGGACAAGAUAUGGUUUCGUGUAUUGGUAUUUGUCUACAAGUACAUGUAAAAUCCAUGAUCUUAUGCACGAUGUGGCACUAUCUGUCAUGGGCAAAGAAGUUGCUACCAUAACUGAGAAGCCAAAGCAGAGUGAUGAGUUUCUUCAGAACACUUGUCGUCAUAUAUUGUUAUCAUGUGACGAGCCAGAGGCCGUUUUGAAUGAUUCUCUGAAUAUAAGGUCGCCAGCUAUACAAACACUACUACUUGGGGAAGAUUUCUUGCCGACAUAUAUUUUUUUGAAGGAUCCGCGCAUAAAAUCCCUGCAGCAUCUCGCAAAAUACAGCUCUCUGCGUGCAUUGAGACUUUGGCAGACUAAGAGCACAAUCCUACUGAAACCAAAGCAGCUACAUCUCUUGAGGUAUCUUGAUAUCUCGUUUAGUGAUAUAGUGGCACUUCCGGAAGAUAUCAGCAUUUUGUACAAUCUGCAAACGCUGAAUAUUUCUAACUGUUGGAAACUUGGUCGACUUCCAAAGGGAAUAAAGUACAUGACUGCCCUCCGUCACCUCUACACUCACGGAUGUGAGGAGUUGAAGCGCAUGCCACCAGAGGUUGGACAUCUCACUUCCCUGCAAACACUUACAGAUUUUGUAGUGGGUACAGGCCCUGAUUGCAGUAGUAUUGCAGAGCUGCAGCAUUUAAACAACCUUGGUGGUCCACUACUGCUUAGUCAACUCGAAAAUGUGACAAAAGCAGCAGAUGCAAAACAGGCCAGUCUUGGAAAUAAAAAGGAGAUCAGGGAAUUGUCAUUAAGCUGGACAGGUAGUGAGGAGGAGAAACAACAUUGUCAUAAGGUGCUGGAGGGUCUCGAAGCUCCUCCUGGACUAGAGGCUCUGAGGAUACAGCAUUACCAAGGAACCAGUUUCCCAACAUGGAUGGGUACGCUGCCAAAAAUGGUGGAGCUUCGUCUUUUUGACUGUAACAAGUCCAAUAAGCUUCCUCCACUUGGGAGUGUAGCAGCUCUACAAGUUCUUCAUUUGAAAAGAUUGAAAAAACUGGAAAGCUUGUGCAGUGGUGGUACAUUCUUUCACUUUCCUAAUCUGAAGGAGCUUACGCUGGAAGACCUGCCGGAAUUUGAUAGAUGGUGUGAAGUAAACUGGGUCCAAGGAGAACAGAUAAUGUUUCCUCAACUUGAGAAAUUGUUUAUUACAAAUUGUGGAAAGGUUACAGCAUUACCAGGGCCAGCACUUCUCGGAGGAUCGUGCUGUGGAGAUUCCAAGGAGCAAGACGAGAGGAAGCUUUGGUCGGCAUUUCCAGUCCUGAAGGUACUCAAAUUACAAUGCUUAGCAAAGUUUCAGAGGUGGGGGGGCGCUGCUGAAGCAACUCAAGGGCAGCAGAUAAUAUUUCCUCAGCUUGAAAAGUUAUCAAUCAAAAAGUGCCCCGAACUGGCAGCAUUACCAUCAGCUACAUCUCAGGGAGUAUCAUUUGACCAUAGUGAUGUUACAGCAUGGUCAGCAUUUCCAAACUUAAAGAAGCUCUUGUUAGAAGACUUAGAAAGUUUUAAGAGCUUGGGGAUGACGGAAGCAACUCAUGGUGAACAGCAGAGAUUCUCUGACCUUGAGACUCUGGGUGUUAAGAAAUGUCCGAAGUUGACAAUUCAACCGGGGGUGAUAGAAGCACCAAAGCUCGGUGUAUUAGAAAUAAAUGGCAGCCAACUGACAGCAAUAAUAGUGCCUACAGUUAUUAACUCAUUGUCCGAACUGGUGUUAUCAGUCGAAGACACAGAAACUACUUUACCAACUGUGCAUGGUGCCUUUGAGCUGGUGGACGCCAGUAAUAAAUACCCUCUGACACAUCUGGAGCUAAGCGGCUGCAACUUUCUGUUCCCCUCAAGUCCACUGGCACUAUGGGCAUGUUUUGUCCAGCUGCAAGAUUUGAAAAUUGAGAAGAUCAACCAUGCGCUUGUCUACUGGCCAGAAAAAGAGUUCCAGAGCUUGGUAUCCUUGCGGCACCUUACCAUUUGGAAGUGCAGUGGUCUGAUUGGGUACGUGAAAGCCGCUCCUAGCCAACCAAUAUCAGAAAGGAGCCAAGUUCUCCCCCGUCUCGAGUCUCUACGCAUACGGGAUUGUGAAAGUCUGGUAGAGGUCUUCAACGUCCCCGCAUCUCUCAAGACGAUGGAUUUGCACGACUGCCCUAAGCUUAAGUCCAUAUUCGGAGAGCUACAGGACGAGCCAACAUUCAAUCAAGGGCCCAGCGCUGCACCGAAGCUGUCAUCAUCGGCCUGGGAUCACUUACUUCCAUGUCUUGAAUCUCUAAAUAUACGGCAGUGCGAAAGCUUGUCAGAGGUUCUCAACCUUCCCCCAUCCCUCAGGGAAAUAGAUAUUUGGGAAUGCCCAGAGUUGAGAUCAGUCGAAUGUUGCUUGGGAGAGUUUGCAACCCUGGAACGCCUCGUUCUUAGUGAAUGCAAAAGCCUGGCAUCCUUGCCCGAUGGGCCACAAGCAUACUCAUCUCUCCGUCAUCUUCAAAUUACAUCAUGUCCAGGUAUACAAUCGCUUCCUUCAUCCCUGAAGAAGAGACUGGACAACCUCAUUGAUAAAUAUUUGGAUGCUCGUUACGAAGGUACCCAUCAAACUCAUUUGUCGUUUCACCAUCAAAUGCAUAAAUCUGCUCAUGUGUAUUUUCCUCUUCAACCUGAGACCCCGCAUUCUAUAAAUAUAUAUAUACCAGUCGCCUUAAAGCAUCCAUGCAGUAGUUUGGAUGAUAUGGUGUGAUUAUUUUUACAUUAGAGAAAGGUAUUUGCGUCUAUAGACUAUAGCUAGGUGUGAACUGUGCCCAGAAAUUAUUGACAAGGAAUAGUGGAAAGAACUCAGCAAUCACUAAAAAAACAUGAAGAGUGUCCCACAAAGUUACUUUUUCAUGCAGUUGUCAUGGUGGCUUGCUGGUUUCAGCACUUGCACAAUACGAAAUUUAAAAAAUCCAAGUGAUCCCUCCACACUUGGACAAUUAAGAACACGACUAUAGAUUGUUUUCAAUUUGCAUUGAACUGAUAUUUUUCUAUUUCCCUAAUGUUACACAUCAAAUAGAGAUGCCAAGUUGCCAAUGCAACGAAGGUUUUUACUUGUCAAUUUAAUUGAAUUUUGCUGUCUAAAGGACAAAAUGUGGAUUAAAUAAAGAGCUCUUUUACGGUGCACAAUACUACCACGUGGUAGUAUAGAUUAUAAGUACUUUUUUAGCAUGGGCAAAAUUGUAAUUAGCACGCAUAUAUUAUUUGGAGAUUUUUUUCCGCGAGCCCUUCUCCCCACGCGCCGCCAGUCCCCCACGUCCGCGCCUGGGCGCACCCGCGCCCCCGGAACCCUCGGCGGCCGAUGCUGACACUGACGACUUCCUGCCGGCUGAGGCUGCGCGUGGCGGUGACGUGCUGUUUGAGCUUCACUCCCACUCAAACCACAGUGACGGCUUCCUCUCCCCCACCGCGCUCGUCGAGCGCGCCCACCGCAAUGGGGUAAGUGGAUGAAUCCUAAAUGGCCUCUAGUCCGUUUGCCUGCUAGGUGUUUGAGGAAAUGCUUGUGACGUUUGUUCGGCGGCGUUGUACUGUGCUUUGUGGAAUUCGACUUCGAUGGCCUCAUCGUCUUUAGCUGUGGUGCUUAACCGAGCAUUGCGUUUGUUGUACCUGCCAGUGUGCCGUGUGCGUAGCUGUUCCCCGUCUUAUAGGACUGUUCCCCGUCUUAGUAUCUGGAUGAAAGUGCUGUACUGGUGACUACAGUAUCUAACAGGGAAGCAGUUUCCUUGGAUGUUUCAACUCCCCUCUGAUGAUCGGUUUGUUUAAAUUUGAAUGAAGCUGUCAUCUUCUGGCACGCAUUGGUUAGUUCAGACGGUGUAUUGCUUAGCUAAUUGCUGCUGAAAAAAAUGAUUGAGAUGCACUAGUGCCUGUUUCCCCUUGAAAUGUUUUAUGGAUUAUAUACCAUAACCUACCUCCUAAAGUUUCGGUAUGGUUGUGUGCUGUUUAAAAGUUAUAUAUUGAUGGGCACAUAUUACAAAUCUUGGAGUGUCUAAACUAUAUAUGUUUGUGGCGUAGGUGAAAGUUCUUUCCCUAACAGAUCACGACACUAUGGCUGGCAUACCAGAAGCUGUUUCAGCAGCUUCCAAGUUCGGCAUUAGAAUAAUUCCUGGAGUUGAAAUCAGUGCGCUGUAUAAUCCAAGGUAAGUGCCCUUUAGCUUUUAGAGAAGAGAGCUUUCUGUGUUUUGAAUAAAAAUCAUCAAUUGCAUGCAGCUUAAUGAAUCAAGCAUCCUAUUGUUGCGGACUCUCAUAAAUAGAUCUGCAAUAUUGUUUUAAUGCUCCAUUGCCUGUCUAAUAAAAUGAUACUGUAAACAACAUUUAAGCAGUUGUAUUAUGACUAGGGAUAUUUCAUAUGAUGAUUCAUUAUAUUAUGAAUUUCAUUUUCUAUAAGGGAAGGUGCCGGUGCUGGUGAGCCUGUUCAUAUCCUUGCAUACUAUGGUACAUGCGGUCCAUCAAGAUAUGAUGAGUUGUACAGCAUGCUAUUGAACAUCAGAGAUGGGAGAUACUUACGUGCAAAGAAUAUGCUGGCAAAGCUAAAUAGACUCAAGGUGACGAUAAAGUGGGAGCAUAUAACUAAAAUUGCUGGUGAGGGAGUGGCAACUGGUCGAUUGCAUGUAGCAAGAUCUUUGUGUUAAUAAUAGGGCCUGUGUUUUUUGCAGAGGAAGUGAACCAUUUGCUGAGACUGUUGUGCAGUCAAUUAGUCGUACUGGGGGUAUAUCUGCACUCGCUCAUCCUUGGACCUUGGUCAUUGAAGAACCCUGAUGCAGUAAUCAGGUCUUUAGGUGCUGGCCUUAAUGGUAUGGAGGUCUACAGAAGUGAUGGAAAGGUUGAUGGUAUGUGUGCUACACACUUACACUUUAUGCACUAUGACUUGAAAUAGAACAGAGGACUCCGGUAGUCCUGUCAUGCGCUAAAAUCUUCCCAGAAGAGUGCGGUGUUCCCAUCGCCCAACUGUACCCGGAUGGAAAUUUGGAAGAUUUUACGAAGGGUAUGGUCGUUGUCCACCGUAUUGGCUAGGUGCUUCCAUGGUCGUUGUUCGUCAGUCCUCUUGAACCACAACCAGCGCAAUCGGAGGGCCAGCGAUGCAAUUUUGAGGUUCUGAAUUCCUAGACCACCAAAGAGUUUAGGGCGGCAUGCAAGUGGCCAGGCCACUGCACAUUGCCCUCCAUUGGCUGCCUGCUUACCUGCCCACAGAAAACCCUUUCUAAGUUUGUCGAUUUCAUGAAAUACCCAGGCCGGUAUAUCAAGGGAGAUUAGGUUGUAGGUGCAGGUCGCGGUCAGAACUGAUUGAACCACUGUUAGUCUCCCCGCCUUGUUCAUGAGUUGAGCUUUCCAACUCGGGAUUUUGCUGGCCACCUUGUCGAUCAAGGGUUGGAAGUGGGAUUUCCUCAGUCUUCGAACCGAUAGGGGCAUGCCAAGGUACUGUAUUGGGAACUCUACCACUUGGGCAGGGAAGAUGCUACUAAUUCUCGCGAUUUGCUGAUCAUUGCAAGCAAUUGGGGCGAUGGAGCACUUCUGUAAGUUGGUGUGCAACCCAGAUGCGUUACCAAAGAAGUCGAGAAUCCCCUUGAGGGCAAUCAAAUCCUGGGCCACCGGCUUAGCAAAAAUGAUCACGUCGUCAGCAUACAAAGAGCAUUGGUGACAUAUGGCACUAUCAGCCGGGUGGGAGAGGACUCCCAGUUCCGUAGCCCUCUGAGAAGCCGGUGCAUCACUUCCAUAAUGAGGAUAAAAAGCAUUGGCGAUAGUGGAUCGCCCUGCCGCAGCCCUCUUGCGUUGCGUAUUGACCGACCUGGGGAGCCAUUUAGCAGCACUCUGGUGGUGGCAGUGGAAAUGAGCACGGAGAUCCAAUCCCUCCACUUAAUCCCAAAGCCUCUCGCUUGUAGAACUUGCAGUAGAAAAGGCCAACAGACGGUGUCAAAGGUCUUUGAGAUGUCAAGCUUGAUUAGGAGGCUGGGCUUGUGUUUCCGGUGUAGGGUUUUCGCAGCUAGCUCCACAAACUUAAAAUUAUCAUGGAUUGACCGUCGCUUCACGAACGUGCUCUGGUUAAUGUCCACAAGGUUGUGCAGCUCCUGAACAAGCCAGUUGGCAAGCAGCUUUGCAACUAGCUUCGCGAAGCUGUGCACAAGGCUGAUGGGUCUGAAAUCAGUCGGGGACACAGCGUCUUGCCGUUUCGGUAGCAGAGUGAUUAGGGAGCAAUUCAGGCGGCCAAAUUGGCGCAUGCACCGUGGUAGAGCGCGUCAAAACAUGCAAGAACAUCUCUUUUGAUCACCGGCCAGGUUGCUUUGUAGAAUUGCUCAACUUGUAGAUGAGGUCCUGCAAGUACCCUGUGGUUUGUAGUCAAACUACAGCAUUACUGCUAUUGCAAAGAUUAGGAGAUUUUAUCUCUCUUUUUCUAGGAAUUUUUUUUAAAUAAACUGCAUGAGAAGAAGUGCAAGUAAAUUCACGGAAAAUGUAAAUUCACUGACUGACCGACCAGUCUCGGUGCCUGAGGCGCUGAUGAUCCCUUGCUUCUCCAGGCGCUUCUUCCUGUCCUCCUUGAUGCGCUCCAGCAGCUCGAUGUCGUCGUCCUCCUCGAGCACAAGGGCCCGCGCGGGGCGGUCGGCAGCGAACGGGGAGAACGACGCCGCCAGGGCGGCGAGCACGCAUGACGCCAGGCCGCUCUGUCGGCCGACGACGGCGGCGGCCUCACGCCGGUCCUGGCCUCCGUUGCUGCUGACGCCUCUGAACUUGGCCCAGCAUGCUGCCGCUGGGGGAUGGUGCUGCGCUGGCAGCUCCUGCACCGCAGCCGCCGCCGCCCGUUGCAACCCUAGCGACUGAUUGUAAAUGAAGAACCAUAGCGACCAAUUGGAAAUGAGAAGAUGAAUAAAAGGAAAGGAGAUGAUAAUGAAGAAAGAUUUGAUAUAUUGUAACAAUGCUAAUUUUCAUCUUUCCAAUCAUACCCAUAUACUACCCAUACUACUCAUGCAUAUUAUUACCUAUACUUCAACUUAAAAUUCUAGUAGUAUACAAUUAAUUUGAACUGUCGGAUCCUUACAUACGAGUCCUUUUCAACAAUAGUAUAGGGUAGUAUUAUACACCACAAAAGAGCUCUAAAUAAAAGGUCCCAGGAGCCUACUGUGUGGUACCUUUCUUUUAAUGGUUUUUUUGCUAACUUCACGCCUUUGGAUGCACAAAAAUGUACUAUUUCUGUUUUUGUUUCAGAAAGAACUGGAGUUUUUCUCUUUCCAAUUCGGUAGUUGUAUAUUUUAAUAUGCAUACUCAAAUCUGCUUGACGUACACGUUUUUCAUGUUAUACUCUAGAUUUCUAUUGAUAAAUCCUAACAUCAGCGAUUACCAAGUGCCAAGUUAUUGAAACCAAAGACAUGGAAAUAUGCCAUUCAUUUGUAGAAAUCAGUGAGCUGUCAAAACAUUAAGUAAGGUUAGUAGCAUAAAAAGUUUGGGUUUUUAUUAGAAUCAUUUCAAUUAAUCUAGUAUUGAUUCCAUAUCCUGUCUAUUGUAGGGACAUGUUUGCUUCAUUUACUGUCAGCAUCCAAACCAUAAUAUGGAAAUGCUAUUUUCCUUCUAUGUUGACCAAGGUCUGAGUUACCAUACAGGCUCUGAUGCAAGUUGUUAAAGGCAGUAUAAAUUCUGUACCAGACAUUUAUUUAUAUUUGAUAAUCAUGAGAGAUAUAUUACUAUUUUAUUUUUGCAUCAAAUGGAUGUGGAGGCUGGGAUAUUAAUACUUUCUCCCAUUAAUACAGCUACAUCAUGGCAGUUAUCUCCCUGUGAUUGGAAGAGAGUUCUGCAUUUUGCAUAUCAACUGCAACUAUAUGAUGUUUAUAACUGAGCCUGGAGAGAUAUUAUGCCAUUUCUGUGACCAUUCUCUUCUAUUAUGUCCAUUUCACAUAUUCAAAACAAAAUUUUCCCUUAAUUGACUAUUGUAUUGAAUUGAUAUUUUCCUUUUUUUAGAUAAUACUGAUAUUUUUAACUUGCUUUACUUUCCCUUAACAUGAUUGGAAGUUUAAGACCAUGCCUAAAUUUCAAAUGUGCCUUCCUUUUAGUGCAUUACUUCUUUGGUGACCAAUUAAUGUUUUGACUAGCUGCUACUGAUCAAUUAUUCAUACCUGCCAAAGGACCAAUAACUUCGUGGUGCAGCCAAUUAAAUUGUUACUGAUUUCAUGCUAUCAACAUGGAAAAAGAUACAGUUUGACACCCAGCCACAAUCAAACAAUAACUUAGUAGUUUGAAAUGGUUAUCGCAAUUUGCGAUGCUUUGUGCAGAGAAGAUGACUCUUUGAGGUUAAAGAAGAUUCUACAAAUACCCAGCAAGCUUCAGGAAUGAAUUAUUUCAAGCUGGUGGCAUAAUAGUGCACACGGCGGAUGCAGCAACAGAGGACAACUCUGCUCCCCGGCCCCAGGCGCGCCGCCGAAAUGCCUCGGCACCGCCGCCUCCGACACGGCAAGGGCAGCGGGCGCCACAAGCUGAUGAACCUGCACAGGCAAAAGCCAGAACUGAGGCGUUUGGCUUUGCCGAGAUGGCCACACCCAUGUCUGAACGGGCAAAGGCCCGCCCUCCGGCGGAGCCCGUAGAGCAGGGCGGCCCCGACGACCAAGACGGCCAGACCGCAGGAGGGAGGGCUCGCGGCGUGUUCUCGCCGCAGGACAUCCAGGCGGACGGAGGAGGAUCUUGCGAUGUGUCGGCGACGGGCGCUGAGGAGCAGGCGGGGUCUCAUGGCGCUGUGGGCAACGGGAGGCCGAGGAAGCUGGAAGGAGGGGACAGGGAGAAUGAUGCUGAAGCUGGUGUGGUGCGAGCUGACGAACAAGCGCGGAUUCUGGACCAUGUCUUCUCCAAAGGACGUCAACACCAGGUACAACAGCAACCUCACCUUUGUUCUUCCUCUUCCUGUAAAGGGUCGUGCACACAAGGUGUUCGGUCUUUUGUCGUUGCAAGUUUUGCAAAGGAAAAAGGGGACAGGGGCAUAUCUACUAAUCAAAGUAGACGGCGUUUAACGCUAGCACCACGAUUAGCACCCGCAGAGCAACUUUGCAGCACGAAGAAGGUACAGUCAGUAUUGACCAGGGAAAAUUUUGAAGAUUCAGAAGUUCUAAGGGAAAGAGGAGGAAUGGAAAAGGAGGAACAGAGUGAGAGAGAGAAGAAGCAAUUCAAAAAAUCGCAGGAUCCUUUGCAAGGUCUCCGAAGGAACGAGACUGGCUCUCGAUUCUGGGCCUUAGCAAAUGAGGACAGUUCUGACGAGGAGGAGGAAAGGGAGGAAGAAAGUGAUAAGAUGAAAAUGGAAAGUAUAGUGGCUGAGGAGAGAAGCUGUUCUUCCCUAGAGGAAAGAACAGAACUCUCUAGCAGUGGAUCUAGAGAAAAGGGAAUAAAAUUAGUUAAGAAGCAGGAAAGCAAAGAUAGAACAAAGGGCAAAGACAAAAAACCUGGACAUAUGAUCAAACCAUGGAAAGGCCCUUUACCUCAGAGAAAUUACCCUUUGAAAAUGUCACUAGGUGACAUCAGGGUAAAAGAUCUGCGUGAGGUGGCCCAUCCAUUGGAUAAGAGAAGUCUAGAUAUUUUUUUGGAGGAAGAAUCAAAAGUUAUGUAUGAGGAUAACUACAUAGGGGAGGCUGAUUCAGUGAAGUUAAGGAUGAACACAUUGGAGAAGAAGUGCUCAUCAAAGAAGACGAAGUUUGAAUUCAAAUUUCAAAAAGUUCCAAAGAUUAACUCAGGGAAAUCAAUAACCUGGGUGGGUAAAACUGGUUUCAUUCAUGUGGGACCACGUGCAGUUUUCCAAUAUACAAAUGGUUUAAGUCAGCUUCUUAAUAAUGGAGGGAAGCUCAAAAGGCAAGACAUUAAAUGUCUGCCCAAGAAUCAAGGUGGUGUUUGGGCUGCCUGGGGUAAAGGGGCGCCAGCCUCUGUGAUUAAUAGCAACUCAUCUGUGCAACAAGCACCCUUUGACAUUCUAACCACAGCUGUCGAGUGUCACAGAGAGAGAACAGAUUGUCAGGAGGAAGAGGAAGAAGGAAGAAUGUUGAGGAGAGGGUUUGGCACAAGAGGAAUAUCUGGAGCUAGGGGAGCACAUGACGGUCGGUUUAACCAGGACCGACUAGAAAUGGGAGCACAAAGAGAAGAUUCAGGAGGCGUCUGGCACUUUGGAGGAAAUCAGAGAAGACAGAUGGAAGCCAGAGCAGGUGGCAGGGAAGGGGCAGGAGAUGGGUAUGGAAGAAGAUUUAUAUCAAGAGAUGGGUCAGGCAAUGAGAGGAAUAGGGAAGGGCAACAACAAGGUUUUGGGAGCUAGAGAGGUCUACAGGGGCCAGGAGGAUCAAGGGUGGAUGUGAGGGUGGAGUCCCUGAGAGGCAGAGGGGGAUGGCGUAGGUGGCAGGAGCGUACACAAAGAGCAGAAGUGGUGAAGGAAGAGGAUAAAGGAAAGAAGGUGAUAACACGUGAUGGUGAACAGAAAGAAGGAUCGAGGGGGAAAGCUGGGAUGGAUUUCCAGAUGACAGUAGAUGGACUUGGAGAAGAAGAGAAAGGAGAUGACACCAAGUCAGGGAUCAAGUGCUCAAAAUGUGCAAAGAAAGGACAUGUGGCUGCCACGUGCACUAAUCCAGUUUACUGUGUUAUCUGUAACGGUGAUGACCACGUCAAUCACAAAUGUUUGCUGCUAAAGCAGUCUAGGCCAGUGGCACACGCGGUGGGAUACGCUGUCUAUGGGCUUGGUUUCUACCACAUUCCACAUCCACCGCUGUCUAGGAGUAAAAAAGAAUCCAAGAAGGCCCUAAUUAGGGUGGGAGGAGGGAAACUAACCAAGGAGAAGGUGGUUUCACAACUGCAAAGGUUGUACCCAGGAAAGUGGAAUUGGGAACUGGAAGACAAUGAAGAUAACACCUUCAUCACUACAUUUCCCUCAAAAUCUGAACUUCAAAGGGCAAUAGCUUUUGGAGGGGCUAAUGUUAGAGAAGAUGGAGUUCAGAUAGGUGUGAGGUUACAAUUUGAAACUUGGCAAGAGAAAGAAGAGGGAUUCCUUUUACCUAAAGUUUGGGUAAGAGUACAUGGGCUGAGAAAAUCUCUAAGGGAGUAUAUGAAUUUGUGGGCAAUAGGUUCAUUGUUGGGAUCUACCCAAACUGUGGAUAUGGAGAUGACUAGAAAAAAUGAAUUUGGAAGAAUAUGUGUGGCAGCCCUUAACCCCUUGCUUAUCCCCUCACAUUUAGAUGUGGUGAUAGGGGAUCACUACUUUGAACUAGAAUUUGAGGUGGAAAGGAAAGGGACUGAUGAGAAUGGAGAGGAAGCAAAUUUUGAUUGGAAGGGAGAUGCAGAAGGAGAGGAUGAGGGAGAGGGCAGUGAGGAUGGCUUAUUGCAGGAUGACCCAGAUAUGAUCAGGGAAAUAAAAAGAAGGAAAAAUGAUAGUGAGGUCAAGGAGAAGGAAGAUAGCAGUACAAAAUAUAGGCAGGAGGAGCAGGGAUGGACAGAUAAAGAAUCAUGGAAAGAUAAAGUUCAGAAGAUGAGUGAAAUGGAGUUUAAUCUGUUUCUUAAGGAAAAGGCAGAAGAAAUAAUGGAUAGAGCAGUGGACAAAACUUUGGAGGUUUUGAUAGAUCAGGUUAUGACUGACCAGAAUGAAAAUAAUGAGGGGGAGAGCAGCUGGGAGGAGGAAGAGGGAACAGAUGAACUGAAGAAGAGGGCUGCAAUUCCUGAGACAGUAAUGACGCCAACAAGGGUUAGUCCAAGGUUGGCUAACUCAGGAGAUGAGCAUAUUCUUGCUAAGACAGAGAAGAUGGCUGCUAGGAAAAAUCUGGAGCUCAAAGAAGGUAAUUAUGAAACUGAAGUCUCCUUUCAUUUUCCUUUAGAUAAUGUUAUCUGUAAUGUUAGUCAACUAGGGGUUAGGUUGGGAGAGAGUGAAAAAGAGAAGGAAAGGGUAGUACAAGAAAUUCUCACAGUACAAAAGAGAGACAUAGAUCUGCCUGUAGAGGUAGAUAAUCAAGAUGAGAGUAAUCUGUACAGUGACAUGGAGGAGGAGAGGGAAGAAAUAGAAAGUAGUCAAAUUCAGAACCUUUGUGGGGAACUUUUGGAAGAGGUUUUUGACGAUGAUUUUAGUUACAUGGAUUUUUACUCUAAGAUGGGUAAUCACAAGUCUUGUGCUAAGUCACGAAAGAGAAAGACUUGUAAGGUCAGGCUACCCAAAGUCAAUAUCGAUAUGGUUUCCAAAUGAGAGGAAUCUUCUGGAACAGCAGAGGUCUUAGUGACUUGGCUAAAAAAAGAUUCCUUUUAGAAACAUCUAAAGAACAGAACUUAGCUUUCAUUGCUCUACUAGAAACAGGAAAAAGAGACUUUACCUAAGCCACUCUAAGUAAUUUGUGUGGGGGAAAAACUUUAUCUGGCAUUGGACUGAACCACAUGGAAGAUCAGGGGGUAUCCUCCUAGGUGUGGAUCUAGAUGAGUUAGACAUUGGUAGUAUUGAUGAAGGAGACUUUUAUGUGAAGUUCAAAGUAAGGACAAGAAAAGAUAAUUUCCAGUUUGUGUUGGUGGCUGUUUAUGGAGCAGCACAACCAGCUUUUAAAGAAGCUUUCUUGACCGAAAUGGUGCAGGCCUAUAGAAAAGAGAACCUUCCUAUUGUCCUUGGGGGAGAUUUUAACAUCAUAAGAAACCCAAGUGAAAAGAACAAUGAAAGGUACGAAGACAAAUGGCCCUUUCUUUUUAACGCUAUCAUAGAUAGCUUAAAUUCAAAGGAGAUACAUAUGUCAGGAAGAAAGUACACUUGGGCUAGUUCCUUAAAAAAUCCAACAUAUGAGAAAUUGGAUAGGGUGUUGGUUAGUACAGAGUGGGAAGAGAAAUUUCCUUUAGCUACGGUUGAUGCAUUGAGCAGGGAAAUCUCAGAUCAUACACCCUUAUUGCUUAGUACUGGACAGGAAGGGGUGAGAAGGAACCAACACAUGUUUAAGUUUGAACUGAGCUGGCUUUUGAGGAAAGAUUUCCUUGAGAUAGUAGCUGAUGUGUGGAGUAAGGAAAGAAAAGGUUCCAAUCCUAUACAGAAAUGGCAAAAUAAGAUUAGGAGGUUAAGGCAAUUUCUGAGAGGAUGGGCUAAAAACCUAAACGGGAAGUAUAAAAAAGAAAAACAGGAGCUACUUAAAAGGGCAAAUGAGCUAGAUAAAAAGGCUGAAUCACAGCUGCUAAGUCAGCAAGAAAGUGAUUUAAAGAAUUGCAUUCAAGAUACACUAGUUCAGCUCCUGAGAGAAGAAGAAAUAAGAUGGUAUCAAAGGGCAAAAAGCAAUAAGCUACUGAAUGGAGAUAACAACACAAAAUAUUUUCAUAUGGUAGCCAAUGGCAAACACAGGAAAACAAGAAUCUUUAGACUGGAACAGGAUGAGGGCAUUAUAGAAGGGGAUGAUAAUCUUAAAAAUUACAUAACUAAAUAUUAUAAAGAACUAUUUGGAUCUCAAUCAAGGAACAUUUGUUCUAUGAACGAAUCCUUGACAGAGGAUAUCCCUCAAGUAUCAAGAGAAGAAAAUGAAAUCUUGACUGAAAAAUUCACAGAAAAGGAGGUCAGAGAAGCUAUCUUUCAAAUGAAGCAUAACAAAGCUCCGGAAUCCGAUGGAUUCCCAGUGGAGUUUUACCAAGUAUUCUGGAGUCUCAUUAAAGAUGAUCUAAUGGCCAUGUUUGAAGACUUCCACAAAGGUAAUCUACCACUAUAUUGUUUAAACUUUGGGAUAAUAACUCUAAUCCCAAAACUCCAGGAAGUGAAAAUGAUCCAACAGUAUAGACCAAUAUGUAUGUUAAAUGUCAGUUUCAAAAUCUUCACAAAAGUGAUGGCCAAUAGGUUUUCUCUGGUGGCUGAAAAAGUCAUCAGGCCAUCACAGACUGCUUUUAUGCCUGGGAGGUACAUAAUGGAAGGGGUAGUAGUACUUCAUGAAACUAUACAUAAGUUAAGCAGGAAAAAGCAAGAUGGAAUCAUUCUCAAAUUGGACUUUGAGAAAGCCUAUGAUAAGGUUAAUUGGUCUUUUCUUCAACAGGCAUUAAGAAUGAAAGGCUUCUCCUCAAAAUGGUGUGAGUGGAUAGAAAGUAUAGUCAGUAAGGGAAGUGUGGGGGUAAAGGUAAAUGAUGAUAUUGGACAUUUCUUCCAGACAAAAAAAGGUCUUAGACAGGGUGAUCCCUUAUCGCCAAUGCUAUUUAAUAUAGCAGCAGACAUGUUGGCUGUUCUUAUUGCUAGAGCAAAACAUAGCAACCAAAUAAAGGGCCUAGUGCCACAUCUCGUAGAUGAAGGAUUAUCUAUCCUCCAGUACGCAGAUGACACAAUAAUCUUCAUGGAAAAUGAUUUAGAGCAGGCAAGAAACUUGAAAUUGGUGCUAAGUACCUUUGAAAAACUUUCAGGCCUCAAAAUCAAUUUCCAUAAGAGUGAAUUGUAUUGUUUUGGGGAGGCAAAAAACCAAGUUAAGGUUUAUGUAGAGAUAUUUGGGUGCAAGGAAGGAACACUACCAUUUAGAUAUCUUGGAAUUCCAAUGAUGCAUCGCAGAAUUGCAAAAAAGGAUUGGAAAAUGACUGAAGAAAGGUUCCAGAAAAAAUUAGCAAGCUGGAAGGGCAAAUUAAUGUCAGUGGGAGGCAGGUUAGUACUGAUAAAUUCUGUCCUCUCAAGUUUACCAAUAUUUAUGAUGUCCUUUUUUAGAAUACCUAAAGGUGUUCUUAAAAGAUUGGAUUAUUAUAGAUCUAGAUUCUUCUGGCAAAGUGAUGAACACAAAAAGAAAUUUAGGUUGACCAAAUGGAGUAUCCUUUGUGCACCUAAGAAUGUAGGAGGUUUGGGUAUCUCCAAUGUGGAGGUUCUAAAUAGGUGCUUGCUAAGCAAGUGGUUUUUUAAACUUCUAAAUGAGGAGGGAGUAUGGCAAACUUUGCUUAGAAAGAAAUAUUUGGUGAACAAGACUCUAACUCAAGUGACAAGGAAAAGGGGAGAUUCACACUUCUGGGCGGGCCUCAUGGAAAUAAAGGAUCAGUUCCUAUCAAUGGGAACAUUUGAGGUGCACAAUGGAGAAAAAACUAGGUUCUGGGAAGACGUUUGGAUGGGAAAGACAACUUUGAGGGAAAGAUAUGCAUCCCUGUAUAAUAUAGUGAGAAGGAAAGAUGACACCGUAGCCAAAGUACGUGGAUCUGCCCCUCUAAAUGUUUCUUUCAGAAGAGCAUUAACAGGGCACAGAUUGGAAGAAUGGCUAAAAUUAGUGGCUGAUAUUAUAAGUCAUGCUACAGACAGGCAGGAAGACAGAUUUAUUUGGAAUAUGAAUAAAAACAAAGUUUUCUCAGUGAAGUCAAUGUACAGAGAAAUAAUGCAAGCUGAAAGAACACCAUCCAUGUGUGUUGCUUGGAAGUUAAAACUUCCAUUAAAAAUAAAGAUCUUUUUAUGGUAUUUAAAGAAAGGGGUGAUUUUAACAAAGGACAACCUCACUAAAAGGAGAUGGCAGGGAAGUACCAAUUGUUGCUUCUGCAGAUCAAAAGAGACAGUGCAACAUCUCUUCUUUGAUUGUAAUCUUGCCAGAUUCAUAUGGAGUACGGUUUUCUUUUCGUUUGGAAUUCAACCACCGACGAGUGUUCCUUAUGCUGGGAUCUUGGGCUAGAGGGUUUCCUCGGAAGAUUAGAAACCAGAUGAUUAUAGGAGCUGGUGCUCUUUGUUGGGCCAUGUGGUUGAACAGAAACGAUGUACUGUUCAAAGGCACGAUCACUAAUUCCUUCUUGCAGGUAAUCUUCAGAGGGACCUAUUGGACAAGAACAUGGGCGGUGCUAUCAAUGGAGGAAGAGAAAAAUGAAAUGAAGAACAACUGUAGCAGGCUCGAAGGCACUGCCUUGGAAUUCUUCUCCAAUAAGUAUGGCUGGAACUUCAGACGAAGAAUACUUCAGUAACAGGAUUUCAUCUAGGCACCGGAGAAGAUCUUAGAGUCCUAUCUAGUGCUUAGGAGUCGUGUUAGUGUUCCUGUCUUUGGAGUGAACUGUGAGUCUUCAAGGGUAGUACUGCUAGAACAGCCUAAGUGUUGAGUUUCUGUAUUUGUGGUGUUAGUUUGGCUGCAGGCAUCCACUCGUGGAUGACCGAGGCCGGAUUCUUUCCUUUAUCUAAAAAAAAAAGAACUGAGGCGUUCAUUGCGUCGGUCCGACUGGCACUACAAGCUCCCCUUGCUGCGGGGCCCCCUAAGCCCACCGCUCCUCCUCCGGCACAGACGCCAAGACGGAGUACAAGGCUGGCAACUAACGCGCUAAACUCUGCGAUCCGUCCAUCCAAGAAGGGGGAACUUCUGACCAUGAAAAAACUCGGCAUCUUAACCCAAGAGCACCAAACUACCUCAGCAGCUGACAAAGAUUUCAACAAAUUCUUGACCACGACAAUGAAGCCGUGCCAUUUUGCGGCAUUCAGGGACAUCUUCCCGGCGGCCAAUAACCUCUCGAUUGGGAAAUGAAGUUCCCUUUUGCCUUCCUUCAGACGCUCUCCUCUGAUAUUUCAGACCAUUGCCCCCUACUGCUAACCACCAACUCAAACUUUUCGGUCAAAAGACGCUUCCAUUUUUAGAUUUGGUGGCUCAAGUUGCCUGGCUACUUGGAAACUGUCGCACAGGGUUGGGUGUGCCCAUCGCACAUCUCUGAUCCUUUCACAAAACUUGACAUGAAGCUUAAAAACACUGCUAGAAAGCUUCAGAGCUGGAGGGGAAUGCAAACACAAGACUUUUCCAUUUGCAAUGUGGCCACAGGGCCAAAAAGAAAUUUAUUGCAAGGCUUGAGCAUGAGGGAGGUGUGGCAAUCUCACAUGAGGAAAAAGAGCAGGUUUUGUUCAGCCACUUGUCUGCUAUUUUGGGCACUGCUAUGCAAAGAGUUGAGAUAGUGAAUUUAUCUGUGUUGGGUUUCACGGCGAGAAACUAAAGCCACCUGGAGGUUCCUUUCAUCGAAGAGGAAAUUUGGAAUGCAAUCUGGAAUCUUCCAAAUGAAAAAGUGCCCGGCCCAGAUGGCUUCAUCGCUGAGUUCUAUAAGACAGCCUGGUCAAUCAUCAAAACUGAUGUGCUGGCGGCCUUUGAUGCAUUCUAUAGGAACAUAGUGGCACAACUGCAUAAACUCAAUGGAGCCUUGAUCACCUUAUUGCCCAAGAGGCAGGAUGCCAAAAUACGAGGAGAUUAUAGACCAAUCAGUCUCAUCCACAGUUUCGGGAAGCUCCUGGCAAAGCUGUUAUCAAACAGAUUAGCACCUGAACUCAGCGCUUUGAUAGAUGUCAACCAGAGUGCUUUCAUUAAGCAGAGAUCUAUCCAUGACAAUUUUAAAUUCGUUGAAUAGGCUGCUAGAACCUUACAUAGGAAAAAGAAGCCUACACUACUGAUCAAACUUGAUAUCUCCAAAGCCUUUGACAGUGUCUGCUGGCCUUUCCUGUUGCAGCUGUUGCAAGCCAUGGGGUUUGGUUUAAAGUGGAGAAAUUGGAUGGCAACCCUGGUUUCCUCAGGUACAACAAGAAUAUUGCUCAAUGGUUCUCCAGGGCCGGUGAUUCAUAAUGCAAGAGGCUUAAGACAAGGGGAUCCCUUGUCCCCAAUGCUCUUCAUUCUCACAAUUGAGGUGCUCCACAGGCUCCUGAGGAAAGCAGUGCAGAAUGGUGUCCUCAAACCUCCGACUGAUUCUGCAAUACAUCAUCAGUGCUCCAUUUAUGCGGAUGAUGUAGUGUUGUUUGCUGCCCCUGAGGUUCAGGACAUCACAACCAUAAGAGAAACUCUUAAUUUCUUCGGCAGCACAUCAGGUUUACACACCAACCUGCACAAGAGCUUAAUAGCUCCCAUAGCUUGCAAUGCUGAGCAAGUUCAGAACAUCCAGGGCAUCUUGCCAGCUCAGAUCGCUGUGUUCCCCAUCCAAUACUUAGGAUUGCCCCUAUCAGUUACCAGGCUCAAGAAGUCGCACUUUCAGUCCUUAAUUGACAAAGUUGCAGCAAGUAUUCCGACAUGGAAGGCUCCGUUGAUGAACAAAGCAGGCAGGCUCACCACUGUAAAAGCAGUUAUGAGUGGAACUGUUGGAAUAAAGUGGCUAAAAAACAUUCCAGAUUUUAUUUGGAGGAAAAACACAUAGAUGAAAAUUAACGCAAGCAUACAACACAUGUAAACAGUCAGCAUAUUGACUAGAACAAGGUGUUGCAGGGACAUUACUCAAUAAUUCCGCAUAGAACGUAGUCGAACGUGUUGUAGGUGUUGCAGAGUCACCAAGCGGUCGCGUGUAGAUGCUGCCCAAAAACCUAAUUGUCGCCCCGUGCAGGAGUCUCGCGGCAGUGGUUUCGGAGAUCCCGUGCAGGACGUCUCCUGGUGUUAUAGACUCAAUACAACAUAAGUUUCCCCCAUCAAACAGCCUCAUAAAUUAGUAGUCACAAGUCACAAGUCACGCGAUUUUUCACGCAAAAAUGUGCGUGCGUGUAGCAACAGGCUCCUCUCUCUCUCACUUGCACCUUUUUUGCAUAAAGAGAAGACCCCCAUAUUUAAGCAAAGUAACCUCUCCUUGAAUUAACAAUAUGGGACUAAAGGUUGUGCAUGCUUUGGAAUUUUCAGAUUAGGCCAUGUAUGGGCCAAAAUCCAACAGGAACAUCAAAGGAGAGUAUUCAGCGAAAUCGGCAUAUCGUUUCUUCUUCAGAACUGCCGUCAGAUGCAGUCAGAUUCGCUGCAGCUAAGCUGAUUUGGAAAGUAUGGGUUCCUCUCAAAAUUAAGUUCUUCAUGUGGUUGGCUAUCAAGAACAGGUUGUGGACGGCAGCGAGGAGGCAAAAACGUGGACUGCAAGACCAGGCUGAUUGUGUGCUUUGUGAUCAAGAGUUAGAGACGGCAAAUCACCUGCUAUCCAGAUGCUCCUACACUCUCCAGGUGUGGCAACAUAUCAGCGCUUCAAUGAACUUGCUGAAUAUUGCUCCAACACAAAAUCAGUCCCUCCUUGACUGGUGGCUGCAAAAAAGGGAAGGAUUCAAUGCCUGCAACCGAGCGUUCGGCCGCUCGCAGGCAGAGUGUGGAGCGCCUAGUCUAGGAGAUCACAACUGAAGGGGACCUCUAGUGCGCGGCAGGCGCCAAACACCUGGCAGCACUUGGCUGGCCAGGGACAGCAGGGUUGCCUAUCUCAUAGAGGAUCUACUCUUCUCUAUCCAUUCGUUGUAAGAGUUUCAUGUAAUAGCUGUUAAUGUAAGCUUAAACCGUAUGCGUGCACCCGGCAGGCCAUGUUGUAUGUCUUUUUUCUGCUUAAUACAAAGAUUCGCAGCUCUCCUGCGUGUUCACGAAAAAAAUGAAUACAUACUUGUAUGAGCAUUGCAUUGUAAAAUGUACCAAAGUGCAGUCACUGCCUUCUUCUCACAAACAAACAAUACUCGAUAAACACAUAAAGUCAUUCGCUCAUGAUGCUGUUCAACAAAAAACAAAGCUUUGAACACAUUCAUACAAGGUAAAGUCGAACAAACCAAACCACUUAGAAAACAUGAUAAAAUCCAGAAUUGGACCGAACUAAUUGCUGACAUGACUUGAUAGUAGAUGACAUAAAUAUGGAUGAGGAUGUGUUGACACUUUUUUGAGCCAACACACGAACGCACACGAUCGUGCGGUGCACGGAGGGGCUCGCGGCAGCACCUCGACGCAGGCCGGUCUAACCGGUUAUAGGGAUUGGUCUGACCGGUUGUUGGGUAGGUCGACGGUAGACCUUCGAACGUUCACCCGGGAAGGAUCCCGUCGGGGGCAGGCGCAUACAGGGUUGCUCUAGGAUCGGCAGGCCACCUAGAGCGCCUUCAAACCUCGUCGAGACGAAGGAAGAACAGCAAGUGGUAGAUUGGAAAAGCUAGGGCAAAAGAAUAAAGGAAAAAAAAUGAUAAAUAAUAGAUUGGUUUAUGUCGACUAGGUUGGAUGUCCUCAACCGGUCGAAUCCCUUUAUAUUUAUAGGGAGGGAAGGUCUUCCCCACGUAGAAGUCGAAAUCCUAAUACAAAUCGUGCCAAAUUACAACUCCUACUCGGAUUACAUAGAGCCAGACUGGUCAGACCGGCCUGGGCAACCGGUCUGACUGGUCUGCUCGGGUGCAGAUUUUGCCAAGAUCGUAUCUCCCUCAUCCGAACUCCAAAUCGGACGUUUUAUAUAUGAAUCUUGAUCUACUCGACAAGAUCUACACAAUGGUAGAGUCCAAUCUUCAUUUGGAGUACUUUGAUCCAACCAGUCUGACUGAUGGGUCAACCGGUCUGACUUGUCUGCACAGGGUGCUGAUUUUUUCGAGGGCAUAACUCUCUCAUCCGAAGUCCAAAUCGGACGUUCCAUAUAUGCAUUUUGAUCGUCUCGAUGACAGCUACACCAUGGUGAAGUAAAAUUUGCAUUUUGAGAACAUUCACCAAACCGGUCUGACCGGUUGGAAGACCGGUCUGAACAGGCCUGACCAGAUUUUCCAAGUCCUACCACUUUUGGGCUCCAACAGGAUGUGUCUACAGUAAUUUAAUAAUACUAACAACUAGAAUCAAAGGAUACAUAUCAACUGCAAAAUCAUAAGCAAGGCACACUCUAUGUUUCCAUUUGGGCUUAUUCUAUAGCAAAUCUAUGUAAACUACUUAAGUAUUCACAGCAGGCUGAGUAGCAGGGUCCAGCUUUCUCUGCUCCUAAAUUUUCCUGAGCUUAAUACCCUUACCCUUGGGGAGACUCACCCAUGGUUUGUUCCCCUUGCCAAUUGUGAGCACAUUGCCCAAAUAGGUGGCAAAGGCAUGUGUUAGAAUGUGUGUAAUUGGGCCCAGCCCGGCUAGGCCCAUGCGCAUGGCUCCCCCUGACAGGCGCUUGUUGCGCCAGAUCAGGAGCCAGCCACCAGGGCUUUCUUGUCCCUUGCCUAUAUAUGUGUACGCUAUGCACCUCCAUAAUCAAUCUACAAUUUCCUAGCCAUAUUUGCUUUCAUGGUAUCACGAGUCCGGGUUCCUACCCCGAUUUAGCUUCCGCUUUUCUAGCACAUGCCGUCACUAUGGCUGGCUCCACGUACCCUGUCGCUGAUCCAGUCGCUACAUCGCCCACGGCAGAGGAGCAACACCUCGCCGAGGAGGCCUAGCGGCAGGCUGCCCGCACUGCCACCCUCGCCCACGCUGUCCAGGCUGGGCAGCUGGCGGCUACCGCGGCUCAGGAACGCGACGCCGCUGAUGCCCACCUCCGCGACGCCCUGGCCCUUGCUGUCGAGGAGCGCGCUGCCGCUAAGGCCGCUGAUCCACCACCCAGCAUUCACCCUGACAACGAUGACGAUGACCACAAGAAUCAUGUCGUCCCCUUUGUCCACGACGCCAUGCUGCUCCACGAGGUCGCCGCCGUCCUGAACCUGCACGCCCAGCCUGUUGCACUUUAGAACAUCUGCAGCCUCAUCCCGAUCAUCCUCGACGUCGCCUCCACCAACUACGCCCGCUGGCGCGAGCAAUUUCUGCUCACCGUCGAGAAGUUCUCCCUCGACGCCCACGUGCUUCAGGACAGUCCUCUCCCCGGUCACCCUGACUAGGCGCGGAUGGAUUGCGUCGUUCGGUCUUGGAUCUACGGCACCCUCUCCAACGACCUCACCGACACCGUGAUGACGCCUGGCGCCACUACCCGCUCCGUCUAGCUUGCCGUCGAGUCUCAGUUCCUCGGCAACCACGACACACGCGCCCUCCUCCUUGAUGCCCAGUUUUGCACCUUCGUCUAGGGUGAUCUAUCCAUCACUGACUACUGCCGCCGUCUGAAGGCCAUGGCUGAUGCCGGCGAGCUCGGUGAGCCUGUCACUUACCGAUCCCUCAUCCUCAACGUCAUCCGCGGCCUCAACUCCAAGUACGCCACCAUCGGUCUUCACCUUCGUCGUGCUCGCCCGUUCUCAAUGUUCCUGGAGGCUCGGAAUGAUCUGCUGCUCGAGGAACUCACCUUCACGUAGCCGUCCUCGGAGCCCUCCACCGCUCUUCUCGCUGCUACCCCGAGCGCCUCCACAUCAGCCCGGCCGCCCCAGGCCUCGCAGUAGCCCCAUUCUGGGGGUGGCUCCUCCAAGACUCGUCACAACAAACGUAACUCCGGUAGCUGCAACUCCAAGGGUGGCAACUCCGGCAGCGGUAGUAACAGCGUCGGUGUCAGCCAACGCCCCUCCAGCGGCACCAAGCAGGGCGCCCCCCAGGGCCCCUCCAACGUCACUCCCUAGCUCUCCUUCCAGAACCCGUGGACUGGGGCCAUCCAGAUGUGGCCCGGUACAUGCGCUCCGCAGCCCGGGGCACCCCACGCCAUGCUGGCCCAGUUCUCCAUGCCACGCUAGCCCAGCAGGCGCAGCUCCAGGCACUCCAGGUAGCCCAGUUCCAGGCUGCCCAGCUGUAGGCUGCCCAAUUGCAGGCGGCCCAGGCGCAGGCUCAGGCAUACUAGGCCGCCUAGGCAUAGGCUCUACAGCAGGUGCCGUACCAGCUCUCCAUCGCCGGCACCGCCACCAGCACACCAUCGUGGGAUUAGCAAUCCCUCGCCUCCACCUUCAACACUAUGACGCUAAACCAGCCGCAGCAGCACAAGUGGUACUUCGAUUCAGGUGCUACCUCCCACAUGACCUCCGAUGCUCAUUCCUUCUCGCAUAAUUUCACCCAGCGGUACCCUUUUCCAUCAGCUAUUGUUGUCGGUGACAGUUCUUUACUUCUUGUCACCUCCACUAGCGCAGAUGUUCAUCCGGGUCCUUAACAUCUUAAUAAUGUUCUUGUUUUACCCAACCUUAUUAAGAAUCUUAUUUCCAUUCGCCAAUUUACCAUCGAUAACAAUUGCUCAGUUGAAUUUGAUUUGUCUGGUUGUUCUGUGAAGGAUCUUCGAUCCAGGAAUGUGAUUGUCAGGUGCAAUAGUUCGGGUCCGCUAUACCCCCUGCACCUCCCUGCUGCUGCUACUCUUACUGCUGGCGUCACCUCCACGGUCUGGCACCAUCGUCUCGGCCAUCCUAGGCAGGAAGCCCUCGCCCGUCUUGCGCUAAUUUUACCUUCAUGUAAUAAAGACAUUAGCUCAUCUCUCUGCCAUGCAUGUCAGCUCGAACUACACACUCGUCUUCCCUUUCGAGUGUCCUCCUCUUGAGCUUCCAGGAAUUUUGAUCUUAUUCAUUGUGAUCUCUGGACAUCACCUAUUCCUAGCAUCUCAGGUUUUAAAUAUUAUUUAAUUGUUCUCAAUGCUUGCUCUCACUUUUCUAGAACUUUUCCUCUAAGGCUGAAAUCUGACACAUUUGAUACUCUUGCUAAUUUCUUUUCCUACGUGCUUACACAGUUCGGCGCCACCAUUAAGGUCGUCCAGUGCGAGAACGGUCAUGAGUUUGACAACUCUAGCGCUCGCACGUUCUUCCUCUCCCGUGGCGUCCACUUCUGGUGGUAUGCUCUGAUGCUGAUUGGGCGGGCUAUCCUGACACACGCAAAUCCACUUCCGGUUAUGUGGUCUUCCUCGGCGACAACCUGAUCUCUUGGUCCUCAAAGCGUCAGCCCACCGUCUCGCCAAAGCUGAGUACCGUGUUGUGGCCAAUGCCGUCGCCGAAGCUACCUGGCUAUGCCAGCUACUUCAAGAGCUCCAUGCCCCCACUUCACCGCACCUCCUUGGUCUAUUGCGACAACAUCAACGCGGUCUACAUGUCCUCCAAUCUGGUUCAGCAUCAGCACACCAAACAUAUCGAGAUCGAUCUUCACUUCAUUCAGGAGCGCGUCGCUGUGGGUGACGUUCGUGUACUACAUGUUCCCACAUCGUCCUAAUACGCCGAUGUCUUCACCAAGGGGUUGUCGUCUUCUAUUUUUACAGAAUUUAGGUCCAGUCUAAACAUUCGUGGCACCAGCGAUUAGACUGCAGGGGCGUGUUAGAAUGUGUGUAAUUGGACCCUAGCCCGGCUAGGCCCAUGCGCAUGGCUCCCCCUGAUAGGCGCCUAUUGUGCCAGAUCAAGAGCUAGCCGCCAGGGUUUUCUCGUAGAAUAGGUAAGGCUCCUAACCCUAGGACCCUUGUCUAUAUAUGUGUACGUGCUAUGCACCUCCGUAAUCAAUCUAUAAUUUCCUAGUCAUAUUUGCUUUCAGCAAGACCAAGGCAUCCUCCACAUGGAGGAUCUCAUAAUUGCCCUUGUGCUUCUCCCUAUUCUUUUAUUAUAGCAACCUGACCAGUCUAGUGACCGUGACAACAUUACCCACAUCAAACUUGAUGAAAUCAACAAUCUUACCUGUCUCCGGAUCAAUUUUGAUUGUGUCAUUCACUCAUUUGCCUUUGGCCUGUUUAUUUCUGCAGGACCGUGCAGUGUGGCAGCAGGGAUGACGCCCGGGUGCGCGGAGCCCCGGUGGUGGGAUCGACGACAAGGGUGCGCGUGCGGGGCGGUCGCCCCGACCUGGUGCUGGUGGCUGCCUGUGCAUCACCGACACUUGGUGGCUCUACAUCCAGGUGGCUUUGCGUUUCGUGCGGCUGUACAAUUCUAUAAAUACAAAAGUCUCUCUACAUGUACAAUUUGAUCACUACACAAAAUAUCUCUACACUACCUGAUCACUACAAUACACCGAAGCGACAACACCUAUCGUUCUGGUAGGUGAAGUUGCAACCAAGUGUUAGGUGAAGAUAGAAUAAUUAGCUGAAAAAAAAUCAGUUUUACAACAGGCAUCAAAGGGGAAGAGCAAUAUCAUUUCAGUCAAUAGUAUAAACAAUAUGCUUUACAAUAAGUAUUUUAUAAUACAGGUAAUCUAAUAAAAUCAAGUUUGUGUUCAAAAAAUAUAUAUAGUCGACUUGUCCAUCCGUAUCUCCAUGUUAUCUUGUUAGUUGGCUCUGAACGUCCAAAAAGAAUGCCAAUUGGUGAGCUGCUGAGGUCAAUUAUAACAUGCUAGACCUAUUGGUACGUCAAUAAAAUCACUAAACUGCUUUGACUAGGUAAAAGGGGUUAAUUUGUCUGGUUUUAAGAGAUGUUAGAUGUGUGUUGUCUAGUAUUCGAGCUCAAGAUUUUUCUUACUCUUCCCUUCCUUCCUCCUUCAAACCUCUCAUCCGAGCCCAAUCUCUCGCAUGGAGCCCGACUCCUCUUAGACCUCCUUUGGAAUAUAGGAUACAUGUAGAAAUUUUGUAGGAUUUGAAUUCUAUAGGAAUUUUUCUCAUGUGUCCCUUUGGAACAAAGGAUUGGCUAACCUUUUAAUCCUUCAAAAUUCAUAUGGAAUGGUUUAAUCCAUAGGAAUUUUGGAGAAAAUCUAACAUGAGGUCUAACCUCUUGGAAACUCUUCUUUGUGUCUAUCUCUCUUCUCGUUUCUUUGUUUUUCCUACGUUGCAUCCAAACACACAAUUACAAAUUUUUCUACAUUAUCAAUUUUUAUAGGAUUGCAAAUAUCACGUAACUCCGUUCCUACGUUUUUCCUAUUCCCACGUUUGGAGAUUCCUUUUUAAAGAUGUCCUUAGCUUUCUAUUUUAGGCCUUGUUUAGUUCCCAAUUUAGGAGUGGCAAAAUUGGCAUUUUGCCAUAAAUGCGCAAUGUAGUAUUUUGUUUGUAUUUGUGAAUUAUUAUCCAAACAUUGGCUAAUUAGGCUCAAAAGAUUCGUCUCGCAAAGUACAAUAAAAAUGUGCAAUUAGUUUUUGAUUUUAUCUAUAUUUAGUACUCCAUACAUGUACCGCAAGUUUGAUGUGAUGGGGAAUCUUUUUUUACAUAGUGUUAAAGUUGGGAUUUUGGAGGGAAGUAAAGAAGGGCUUAUUUGUUAUAUGAUUGAUCGUAUGUGACAGUGACCGUGCAACACCUGCAACGUUGAGGUACGUGACAAGGCCACACAUGCAUAUGCCAGCUCAUUGGCUCGCCCUAAUCAGGCACUACCGUCCACAGAAGUCUGAACAACGGGCGUGAACCAGGCUGUACCCUCGUGGUCAUUGUAGAAUGCACAUGGAAAGCCGUGAUGAUAUUAUUUUCUAUUAAAGCCGUAAUGAUCAGGGCUUUCGAUGAUAUUACUCAAAUUUAAAGCCGUAAUGAUGCUGUCGACGAUACUACCGUCCACAGAAGUGGCGCCGGAAGUCCUCGCACGCUGACAACGCAACACUGUUGUUAGUACUGCCAUGGGACCUACUAGUGACAAGGCAGCACAUGCAUGUAGACCCGCUGUUGUUGACGGCUCUCCCUCAGCAAGGACGCUGGGAGCAAUAAUGAGGCCACAUCUGCUUCAUCAUGAUCCUUCGCCGAUUAUUGUUUCAGUCCUUUUGCUUCGCUGUACCUAUAGACCAGUAAUGCUGGACUGAAUCAUGAUUUGAGACCUAAUCCCUUCGUUAAUCUUCUGUAAAGCAGCACAUGUGUAAAGCCUACACGACGAUGUUUUUUCCCCCUCCUGUUUCGCUUUCGCCAUUUGACGAGAUCAACGAAAUUCAUCCGCAACAUCCAUGCAUGAUGAUGAAAUUUGGAGCCUUCUUGACAUGACUUCACCUCCAACUCCCAACUUUGGCACUAUGCAAAAAGAAGAUUCCUCAUCACAUCAAACUUGCGAUACAUGCAUGGAGUACUAAAUGUAGAUGAAAUUAAAAACUAAUUGCACAGUUUUGUUACUUUGCGAGACGAAUCUAUUGAGCCUAAUUAGUCAAUGUUUGACAAUAAUUCAUAAAUACAAACGAAACGCUACAGUAUGCUACAGUGCCAGCACAGUAAUUUAGCACCUCCCAAUUUGGCCAACUAAACAAGGAUUGUGACUCGUGCAGCUGGUACAGAGAGUGACUGAUUCCUGCAUUCUAUUAUUGCCUCUUGAAUAUUCCGUGGCUGUUCAACUGUGUUGUGACGGUGAACAUGAAAAUUGCUUUUUAUAUUUAUGUAUUUUCGUUUGCAAUUUGGGCUUUAUUGAGCUUUUCUAUUUGUUAUGUCCUCAAACUUAAAAUCUUUUUUUUUCUAACAGCGCACAUGAUAUAUCAAUGAUCUUACUGUCUUGCUUCGGAUUAGCAACCUGGUAAUCAUGAAUUAAUUAGACUUAAUAGAUUCGUCUCGCGAAUUAAUUAGCUGCAAUUGGCUUUGUAAUUAGUCUAAAUGUUUAAUACUCCUAAUUAGUAUCUAAACAUUCGAUGUGAUAGGAGCUAAAUUUUAGCUCGAGGAACCGAGCAAAUCCUGCAAUUUUGAAAAGGUGAGGCACUAGUUAAAUUUUAACACGUUAAUAAUUUUAUAAAAUAAAUUCAAGAGACCUUGUCGACGAAAUAAAAGUGGUAGGUACACCGUACACAUCAUUAUUGUCAAGUCAUCGGGCCCAUUUGUUUCGUUCACCAAGAGUCCAAUCGCUAUAAUUGGAGAGGAAGAAAUGGAAGAAUGUGACUCGACCAAUAGAUAAAUGGUAUCGCUUUUUCCCUGUGAGCGCAACCCAGGAAAUGCAAAAGGCUGCUCCAGAAUGCAGAACAUUUAUAUGGUCUUUGAACACACAUGGCUACCUGAACACUGUGCACCGGUAAACACGUUUGUUCAGUGAUCAAUCCAUCAUUAGCAUAACUAAACCAGGAUGUGACUAUUAAGUAGGAGUAUUACCUUAAGAUGUGAACAGAAACACUGCAGCUUCACAAGCACAGCCAACAGCAUCCACACCUGUCGUCAUCAGCUUAUAAAAAUAGCUUGGACUUGUCUAUCAUCUUCUGAUCCUUUGCUUAUUUUAUGGCUCCUGGUGUGAGCUGAGCACAAGUCUUCCAUGCUAGUCUUCUCCUUCUGCCAUUGCAAGUCUUGCAGAAACAUAUCCUCUUCUCCAUCUUCUCUUCCCGUACGCCGCCGGCCCCUCCGCUGCGACCGCUACUGCCCCGCCUCUGCUACUGCUGCUCUGUCAGCCUAGGCACCCAAGAAGGUCAGUGCUUGGCGGUUGUCUCCAUUUACCUCCAAAGCGCUUCCGCAGACCAUCCUCUUCUCCACUCCAAAGUGUCUUCUCAUUUCUCAGCGUGCGUUCUCGUGAGCUCUGACUGCUCCAAUGGCCGAGCUUGUGGGCAGCAUGGUGGUCGGGCCACUGCUGUCUCUGGUGAAGGAGAAGGCGUCCAGCUACCUCCUGGACCAGUACAAGGUCAUGGAGGGCAUGGAGGAGCAGCACAAGAAGCUCAAGGUCAUGCUGCCGGCCAUCCUGGAAAGGAUCACUGACGCAGAGAAGCAGGCAACCUCCAGAGAAGCAAUCAGACCCUGGCUUCAGGAGCUUAAGGUGGCGGCGUACGAGGCCAUCCAAGUCUUCGAUGAAUUCAACUAUGAGGCCCUCCGUCGUCAAGCCAAGAAAGAGGGGCGCUACAUCAAGCUCGGCAUGGAUGCAGUAAAACUCUUUCCCACUCACAACCGCAUCAUGUUCCAUUACAGGAUGGGCAACAAGCUUUGCAAGAUUGUGCGUGAUAUUGAUGCCCUUGUCAAGCAUAUGCACGACUUUGGGUUCGACAAACAGCCACAAGCGCAGGUUCAGAUAAAUUAUCUGCGUGAGAAUGACUCCACCAUGGUUGAUCCAGAGAUUGUCAGCAGAUCCAGAGAUGAAGAGAAGCAAAAGAUUGUUAGAAUGUUGGUCAAAGAACAAGCUAACAAUAAGGAUCCAAUGGUCGUUCCCAUUGUGGGGAUGGGUGGGUUGGGCAAGACCACCCUAGCUCAGCUCAUCUUUAAUGACCCUGAAGUGAAGAAGCAUUUCCACCAACUAAUGAAGUGGGUCUGCGUGUCAGAUGAUUUCGAUGUUUGUAACCUUGCCAACAAGAUCUGCAACGCUUCUGAGAGCAACCUGGAGAAUGCCUUGCAGAAGCUUCAGAGAGAACUCGCUGGAAAGAGGUACUUUUAGAAUUUAAUUUGAUGUUGAUUCACUCAUCUCAAACACGCACACUGGUUUUUUUUCCUCACACACGCUCAAAAUAUGUGCAUUACCCUUGAGAAUAACACGUAAUUGAAAGGAUAAGUAAAGCACAUGCAAACUACAUACACAAAAUUCAACUUCAAACUUAGAUCCGCAUACACUUUUAAUUGCUAGUGCUAGUGAACUUCGUACACUUGAAGAAACUAUGAAAAAUGUACACGCACACAUCAUGUCAAGUCGUACACAGAAGGCAACAUCCAACAUUUUUUUUAAUUAAGGAAAAACAUCCGAUCUUGAACAUUCACACGUGAAUAGAAAAUUUUAGGAUCAUUUGAUCAAAAAUUUUAAGUGAAUAGAUCUUCAAAAGGUUAGCAGGAAAAAAACAUUUCAUCUUUUUCUGCUCCCUCAACUCAUGCUAAGGAGCUGCAAAAGCUAACGACGCCUCUUGUUUUGAGGCCCCAGCAUUGAAAUCAAGAAGACAACAACGCCUCACCACUGGCAAGUUGCCCUCUAGAUAUGCACGGAACUUGCACAUCUCACAUACCAUUUACGCUUCCUCUGGUGGCAUUCACAUAACUUAAGAAAAAGACGUACACAAAUAGAAACGCACUAAUGACAUGAUUAUUUGUAACAGGUAUCUUCUUGUAUUGGACGACGUCUGGAAUAAGGAUGAUAACAAGUGGAACAAGCUGAAUGCUUGUCUUAAACAUGGUGAUGUUGGUAGCGCCAUACUAACGACAACCCGUGAUAAAGAAAUAGCUCAACUCAUGGGUAUAGAUAAAGAACAUGGCAUUGCACGUUUGGACAAUAAAUUCAUCAAGGAAAUUAUUGAGGCUAAAGCAUUCAUUUCGCAAGAGAGAAAACCAGCUGAUUUAGCUGGCUUGGUUGAUGACGUUGUUGAGAGAUGUGCAGGGUCUCCAUUGGCAGCGAAGGCACUAGGAUCUGUACUACGUGGCAAGACAACGGAAGAAUGGAAGGCUGUGCUUAGCAAAAGCAUCGCCCAUAACAAGGACGAUCAAAUCCUGCCUAUUCUCAAGCUCAGUUACGAUGACCUGCCAUCACACAUGAAGCAGUGCUUCGCUUUCUGUGCUGUGUUUCCCAAGGACCAUGAGAUUGACGUGGAAAUGCUGAUCCAACUAUGGAUGGCAAAUGACUUUAUUCCCGAACAAAAAGAUGCUCAUCAUGAAACAAUUGGUAAAC